rnacentral:rRNA from 1 species
AGUGAACGCUGGCGGUAGGCCUAACACAUGCAAGUCGAACGGCAGCACAGUAAGAGCUUGCUCUUACGGGUGGCGAGUGGCGGACGGGUGAGGAAUACAUCGGAAUCUACUUUUUCGUGGGGGAUAACGUAGGGAAACUUACGCUAAUACCGCAUACGACCUACGGGUGAAAGCAGGGGAUCUUCGGACCUUGCGCGAUUGAAUGAGCCGAUGUCGGAUUAGCUAGUUGGCGGGGUAAAGGCCCACCAAGGCGACGAUCCGUAGCUGGUCUGAGAGGAUGAUCAGCCACACUGGAACUGAGACACGGUCCAGACUCCUACGGGAGGCAGCAGUGAGGAAUAUUGGACAAUGGGCGCAAGCCUGAUCCAGCCAUACCGCGUGGGUGAAGAAGGCCUUCGGGUUGUAAAGCCCUUUUGUUGGGAAAGAAAAGCAGCAGGUUAAUACCCCGCUGCUCUGACGGUACCCAAAGAAUAAGCACCGGCUAACUUCGUG